rnacentral:sRNA from 1 species
GGAGGGGCGGGGGAAAGGAGGAGGUGGCCAGGCUGUGUCCUCUGACCCUUGGACCGCCUGCGACCCCCGCAUCCCCGCACCCUCAAGGCACUUCCAAAGAUGAUGGGUUGUGGGGAGUCAGAGCUGGAGUCGGCGGACGGGGAAGAAGCCGCGGCGGUCCCGGGGCCACCCCCGGAGCCCCAAGUCCCGGAACUCCGAGCCCCAGUGCCCGAGCCCGGCCUGGACUUGAGCCUGAGCCCGCGGCCCGACAGCCCUCAGCCGCGGCACGGCAGUCCCGGGCGGCGGAAGGGGCGGGCGGAGCGGCGGGGCGCGGCUCGGCAGCGGCGGCAGGUGAGCGGGGGAGGCUGGCCCCCGGCCCGCGACGGCCUUGCGCCCACCUGGUCACUGCCCUGCCCCUUUGCUCCCAGGUCCGCUUCCGCCUGACACCGCCCUCCCCGGUGCGGUCCGAGCCGCAGCCUGCGGUGCCGCAGGAGCUGGAGAUGCCCGUGCUGCAGAGUAGCCUGGCCUUGGGCCUGGAGCUGCGGGCCGCAGCCGAGAGCCACUUUGAUGCUGCGAAGGCCGUGGAGGAACAGCUGAGAAAGUCGUUCCAGAUCCGCUGCGGCCUGGAGGAGAGCGUGUCCGAGGGUGAGGGGGGCGGGCGGGCGGCCGCGUGCGGGAGUCGGGGCGAGGGGCGCCGCUCACCUCCGCCCCCGCUGCGCUCUCAGGGCUGAACGUGCCGCGCUCCAAGCGGCUCUUCCGGGACCUGGUGAGCCUGCAGGUGCCGGAGGAACAGGUUCUGAACGCCGCGCUCAGGGAGAAAUUGGCUCUCCUGCCGCCACAGGCUCGAGCCCCGCACCCAAAGGAGCCACCUGGGCCGGGGCCAGACAUGACCAUCUUGUGUGACCCAGAAACACUAUUUUACGAAUCUCCACACCUGACCCUGGACGGUCUGCCCCCUCUCCGACUUCAACUCCGGCCCCGCCCUUCAGAGGACACCUUCCUCAUGCACCGGACACUGAGGCGAUGGGAAGCGUAGA